rnacentral:rRNA from 1 species
UACGUAGGGGGCAAGCGUUGUCCGGAUUUAUUGGGCGUAAAGAGCGUGUAGGCGGCUUGACAGGUCUGCUGUGAAAGCCCACGGCUCAACCGUGGAGGGUCAUUGGAAACUGGGGGACUUGAGUGCAGGAGAGAAGAGUGGAAUUCCACGUGUAGCGGUGAAAUGCGUAGAGAUGUGGAGGAACACCAGUGGCGAAGGCGAGUUCCUGGACAAGUCCUGACACUGAGGCACGAAAGCUAGGGGAGCAAACAGG